rnacentral:rRNA from 1 species
AUUGAACGCUGGCGGCAGGCCUAACACAUGCAAGUCGAACGGUAGCACAGAGGAGCUUGCUCCUCGGGUGACGAGUGGCGGACGGGUGAGUAAUGUCUGGGAAACUGCCUGAUGGAGGGGGAUAACUACUGGAAACGGUAGCUAAUACCGCAUAACGUCGCAAGACCAAAGAGGGGGACCUUCGGGCCUCUUGCCAUCAGAUGUGCCCAGAUGGGAUUAGCUAGUAGGUGGGGUAACGGCUCACCUAGGCGACGAUCCCUAGCUGGUCUGAGAGGAUGACCAGCCACACUGGAACUGAGACACGGUCCAGACUCCUACGGGAGGCAGCAGUGGGGAAUAUUGCACAAUGGGCGCAAGCCUGAUGCAGCCAUGCCGCGUGUAUGAAGAAGGCCUUCGGGUUGUAAAGUACUUUCAGCGGGGAGGAAGGCGAUACGGUUAAUAACCGUGUCGAUUGACGUUACCCGCAGAAGAAGCACCGGCUAACUCCGUGCCAGCAGCCGCGGUAAUACGGAGGGUGCAAGCGUUAAUCGGAAUUACUGGGCGUAAAGCGCACGCAGGCGGUCUGUCAAGUCGGAUGUGAAAUCCCCGGGCUCAACCUGGGAACUGCAUUCGAAACUGACAGGCUAGAGUCUUGUAGAGGGGGGUAGAAUUCCAGGUGUAGCGGUGAAAUGCGUAGAGAUCUGGAGGAAUACCGGUGGCGAAGGCGGCCCCCUGGACAAAGACUGACGCUCAGGUGCGAAAGCGUGGGGAGCAAACAGGGUUAGAUACCCUGGUAGUCCACGCUGUAAACGAUGUCGACUUGGAGGUUGUGCCCUUGAGGCGUGGCUUCCGGAGCUAACGCGUUAAGUCGACCGCCUGGGGAGUACGGCCGCAAGGUUAAAACUCAAAUGAAUUGACGGGGGCCCGCACAAGCGGUGGAGCAUGUGGUUUAAUUCGAUGCAACGCGAAGAACCUUACCUACUCUUGACAUCCACGGAACUUGCCAGAGAUGGCUUGGUGCCUUCGGGAACCGUGAGACAGGUGCUGCAUGGCUGUCGUCAGCUCGUGUUGUGAAAUGUUGGGUUAAGUCCCGCAACGAGCGCAACCCUUAUCCUUUGUUGCCAGCGGUUAGGCCGGGAACUCAAAGGAGACUGCCAGUGAUAAACUGGAGGAAGGUGGGGAUGACGUCAAGUCAUCAUGGCCCUUACGAGUAGGGCUACACACGUGCUACAAUGGCGCAUACAAAGAGAAGCGAACUCGCGAGAGCAAGCGGACCUCAUAAAGUGCGUCGUAGUCCGGAUCGGGGUCUGCAACUCGACUCCGUGAAGUCGGAAUCGCUAGUAAUCGUGGAUCAGAAUGCCACGGUGAAUACGUUCCCGGGCCU